AGGAUUCAGGCAGAAGAACUCUUGUCCAUAUGUCCUAAAAGAAAGAAAACCAAUCUGAGCAUGAAACAGAAAUCCGACUGAGUGAAAGAAGCUGAAGAGCUAGCAAGUGGGGGAUGGGACGGAAACAAGAUAAAGCAGACAAAGAUUUCACCAAAUCUCUGACCUAUCAGACAAGCUUGCUGGAUGCCUGGGCAAUGAACAAGUGCAAAAGAAAAGAAUCAGACAGAGCUUUGUUGGAGGAGCAGCAGGUCAGAGCUUCAGAGGAGCCUACGGAAUUUUCUGCUAGGGUUGCAGGUCCUGCCAGCUCUCUAUUUAGGAAUAAGAAACACACAUCACCUGGAAGACCCUGCAAAUGCUGCAGACUGGAAAAUCUUGACUUCAGAGAUGUCAGCAGAAUUAAACACUCGGAGAGAGGCUGAGUACCUUUCGUUUAUUUCAAAAAAGCACCUCUCAAGCCGGUCACCCAAGGUUUGCGAAACUAAAAGGCUCCAUCCCUGUUCAUUCUGGCCCACAGGAAUGAGGAACCAUGGACAGAAAGACAUGCAAACCCAUUCUGAAGGAGAAAAGACAGCACAGACGCUGUCUCUCACAGUCACAUAAACCCCCCUCCACCACAAUGUUGAAUUUCACUGCACAAACAUCAAGGUUGAAGAGCAUCUCAAUUUGUUGAGAAGAGAUGUUUCCCGGCAGCUGCUCUGAAUCCAAUACCGCUUUCUUCUGAUCUAUCUAGAUCUGAAUCUUCCCGAGACCCACAGUCUGCUACUGCAAUGAUGUCUUAAAGCCACUGAUCUCUGCCAGCUACAUUUGACUCGCGAGCUCAGAUGGCUAUGGGGGAGAGCAGGGACAGCUUUCUUUCUCCUGGAAGAAAAGGGGCUGCAACUCAAAAUAAAUGCUCACUGCAAAGACAGAGGUGCUGGAAGAAAUGGGGUUUGCCUGUUCAUCCAGUUCAGCUCAUAUAUAUAUCCCUGCCCCUUUAACAUUGCCCUGUAUGGUUGUUCUCUCUCCCCCAUUCUAAUACGUGGCAUCUCUGCCCUAUCCCCUCCCCUCUCUUCCCCCCACAAAGACACACUCCCCUCACUGUCUGCUUCACCUUUAAUUUCCAAAGGCUUCAAGCUGGAAGAUUUCAAUUCCUUGCCUUGCUUGCAUGUCCCUAAAUACUUAUCCCCUCUAAGUUGACAUCCCUCACUCAGCUAAUUCUUGCUCAUAUCAGCGUGCUUUUCUGAGCUAACUGAAGUGAUGGCUUGACACAGGCAAUGUGUACGUCCCCACCAUCCCACACAGAUAAACUCACCCAUGCAACAACCGAUCACAAGACAUGACACACUUCCCUUGUGCCAUGGGUGAUUCAGGCAAGAGGCACAGUACAUCAGUGAACAGGAGAAGGUCACAUGCAUACAAGAGUGGUAGAAAGGAGCCAGAUCAACAGGUGACCUCUGCAGCCGCAUAGCCCAGUUACUACAGUCGCUGAGAGGGGCAAAGGGAAAGCAAGGAAGACAGCAGGUGGGAAAGUUAGGAAGAAAGCUGCGGGUCACAGAGUUGAGAGACGUUCUGCAAGGGAUCCAACUGGCCAUAGCGAGGCUGUGUCUGUGUGAGCACGUCACGCCAGUUUAACUCUCAGCGUGAUUCCCAACCCACUCGGCUCAAGCCGAGCAUAAGGCCAUGUGGAGCAGUCUAAAUCAGGCCUGUUAGGGUUUUGUUUAGGUGAAUGGGAGCUCUGUUUCAGCUAAAGCAGAGUGAGCCAGUCAAACUGAAAUGUGUGGCUCUGCACAGGAGGCUGCCCCAUUUCUCCUGCACAGCUGACACCAGCACAACCUGCCCAUGCAGACGAGGCCUUAAAAAUGUUUUUCUCCCUAGAUGGAAGCCUCAACUCUAAGGUACCUGAGU